rnacentral:lncRNA from 1 species
UUUCUUGGCUGAUCCCUUUCGCUGUAUGGCGUGCUCGUUUGGGUUGGGCGUCGGCUAAGAGUGCUCGGAGCGUGGAUUAACUCCAGUCUCCUAUCAGGUGUGUAUUUUCUCGCUACUCUAGUUGUAGGAUGGUUACUUCGGGCCGCGAUGGGCCGAAAGGGGUCAUGUGGGCCUAAUGGGCCUACGGGCCCAAUUGGAUAAGUUGUUUGAUUGUGUAGUAAACAUUGGACUAGGCUAGGUGAAUCUCAUAUUUGUGGCUAGAUUUGGGCUAAAAGGGCCACACGAGCGUGUGGGCCCAUUUGGGCCGAGAAUUGGCUUUAGGCCCAUUCGUAUUAUUAUCCCUGUUUAGAAUACUUUAGUUUACCAAAUUACUAAAAUGUCCUCAAUUUGUAAAAUUACCAAAGUACCCUCGAUUUACAGAAUUACCGUUUUACCCUUGAUUUAUAGAAUUACUGUUUUACCCUAGAUUUACAAAAUUACUAAAAUACCCUUGGUUUUCAAAAUUACCAAAAUACCCCUAGUUUGUAAAAUUACCAAAAUACUACUUGUUCGUGAAAUUACCGAAAUACCCUCAAUUUUUAAAAUUACCAAAAUACCCCUGAUUUACAAAAUUACGGAAAUACCCUUGACUUUCUAAAAGUUAUAGAAAUACCAUUGGUUUACAAAAUUACUAAAAUACCCUUGGUUUGUAGAUUUACCAAAACACCCUUGUAGGAUGAAAUGACUAAAAUACCCCUAAUAGGUAAAAAGACCGUAAAGCCCCUGUAAGGUAAAGUGACCGUAAUACCCUUGUAUGGUAAAAUGACGAAUAUGCCCUUAUGUUCCGUAUGACUGAUGUGCUUACGAUUUACAUAUAUUGAUAUUGGAUUAGUUAAGUUUGAGUGACAGAUGGUGGUUAUCGUAGGUGAUUGAUUAUGGAAACGUUUCAACUUCAACCCAUAAUAGGUGUAUACUAACCCUUGUAGUAGCUUAGAUUAAUUUCUGCAGAGAAGCCGAAAUGCUAAAAUACUGGCAUUUAGGGAACUUGUAAUGUAGCGUGUGGGUAUAGAAGCGAUAAAUACGAUAAGAUCGGUGUUUGGAUCGAUGGAACGGGUAAGAACUCAAUUUUGUGCACGAUGGUAAGUUGGGCCUCAAUGGGUAGGAAUUGGGCCAAAUGGGCUUUCGGGCCCAUUUGGGUAAAAUUAUAGAAAAUGGAAUUUGGAAAAGUUGCAUGUUAACACGGUUAGUAUUAUUAUAAAAUUUGGGUUAAGCAGGCUUAGUGGGCUAAAUCAGCAUUUGUAGGGCCCAUUAGGGUUUUGGGCCCAAAAGCCUGAAUUUGAUAAGUGGGCUAAAGAUCAUUGUUUAAACACUCGGAAAUAUUGACAAUUGUAAUGAACAUGGAAAACCCUGAUUUUUGGUAAAAUUAUGAAAUUACCCUUAUAAUAUGAAAAAUGACUAUUUUGCCCUUGUGGGCAAGUGACUGACUUGGACUGUGUGGUUGAUGGAUUUGAUUGUGAAUAUAUGUUGGUGAUAUGAAUGACUUGACUGUGAUUGUUUGAUUCAAAUAUAGGCAUGACAUUCUGCAUACAUGACAUGUUGCAUGGGUUGGGUUUUAUAAAUGGAGGAAGUGCUAAAAGGGCUAUGCCCCAGUUUACCGAAAAGGGCUUUGCCCCAGUUUAUCAAAAAGGGCUUUGCCCCAGUUAUUAAAAGAGGCUAGGCCUCCAGUUAUAUUUUAAAGCAGCUAUGCUGCCAGUGGAGAGUUUGGUUGGGUGGGUUGAGUUAUUCCCCACAUGUUGUGUUGGUUGGUACGGGUGGAGAGUAGCGGAUGGUGGGUUGAGUAGUCUCCCCAAAUGGGCUUGCAUACAUUCUUUGACAUUACAUGUGAUAUUGAAAUGGGCCUAAGGGCCGUACCGUUUACAGUAAAGGCUUCGGCCAAGUGAUAUGAUUUAUGAAAAGGAUUCGGCCCAGUGAUAUGAUUUAUUAAAAGGCUUCGGCCCAAUGAUAUGAUUUAUGGAAAGGCUUCGGCCCAGUAUAUGUCAAGACUAAAUAGGGCUUUGGCCCAGAUUGUACUGAUACCGUGUUAUUUACUGUUUGAUUAUUAUUGGGGUUACACACUGAGUUUUCGUAAACUCACCUCGUUUCUAACUGUGUAGGUAAUCCCUAAGCUUAGAUGGUUUGGAGCUACGAGGGACUCGGAGAUGGCCAACUACUAUUUCUGUUUCUUUUAAUUGCAAUAAGUAGCCAAUUUAUUUCUUUAUAAGUUUUAUCUUAUUAAUAUUAUUAUUUGGUUUUGGGUUGUAAUAAGGCCAUUUUAAUUAUUUUUCUGGGAUUAUUUUAUCUUAUACCCUAUAUUUUUCUAAUAACAAUAUGAGUUAGACCUAGGGUGCGUUUCCAAAAUGAUAAUUGUUUUGAAAAUAACACAAC